AUUGAACGCUGGCGGCAGGCCUAACACAUGCAAGUCGGGCGAGUGGCGGACGGGUGAGCAAUGGAUGGGGAUCUGCAUGAUGGAGGGGGAUAACUACUGGAAACGGUAGCUAAUACCGCAUACCAUCAGAUGAACCCAUAUGGGAUUAGCUUGUAGGUGAGGUAACGGCUCACCUAGGUGACGAUCCCUACCUGGUCUGAGAGGAUGAUCAGCCACACUGGGACUGAGACACGGCCCAGACUCCUACGGGAGGCAGCAGUGGGGAAUAUUGCACAAUGGGCGAAAGCCUGAUGCAGCCAUGCCGCGUGUAUGAAGAAGGCCUUCGGGUUGUAAAGUACUUUCGGUCGGGGGGCGUUACCGACAGAAGAAGCACCGGCAAACUCCGUGCCAGCAGCCGCGGUAAUUC
rnacentral:rRNA from 1 species